CUCAGUUAUUUACUCGUUCUGACAGAGAAGCACAAAAGCAACAAAAGAUUUCUACAUUAAUGUUAAUUUGCAGACAGUUACAGGAAGACACACGUUGUUUGCCUUAACCUGUGAUUUUAUUAAUAUAAUCAAUAAUUACAUUAUCAUAGUAAAUACAUUUAGAUAAAAUUUUGUUGUGAAGAAAGAGCUCUUUCCCUCGAAGGAGGUCGGAGAGUCAGUGAACGCAUCAUACAGUCUGAAACCCAGACACAGAGAAAAUGGAAGAACAGGAAGAGGAAGAGGAGGGUUUUACUUGACGUGAGCUGAUCUCAGUGUUGGUCUGAUGUCACUGAGCAGCAGGAUGGAGGAAACGUCUCUGCUGUGUCUGCUCUUUCUGAUCUCACUGCUGAGCUGCAUCACAAACCAAGGUCAGUGAGUUUAUCGUGUGACAAGCUACAGUCGUUAAAGCCAUUAGUAUUACUACUGCAGCCAAUGAGGAAGCAGGACCAGAAUGUUUUCAAAUUUAUCUCUGAGCUGAAGUUAUGAAAUAUCAGUACAAUGAGGGCUUACAGUUGAAAAAGACUAACUUGACAGAUCAUUAAUUUAAUCAGCCUUUCACAAAGACGGACUGACAGAUGUGUUGUAACUUUCAACAAAUGACAUGAUAAAAUGUAGAUGAAGACAUAUAAGCAUAAAUUAAUGUCCCGAUAAGAUAAACUCAAUGAAAUACUGUUGACCACUCUGUGAUUUUUGUGCUGCCAUCUUAAUGACCUGAGGUGAAGUAAAAACACAUUUCAUAUUUAUCUUCCCUUUACACAACUAACUGAAAAAUGUGAUUAUUAAAUGUAUGGAGUUUAUUGAAUUAAAAAAUAUCAUUCAUUAAAUUAUUAUGUUAAAGACAAAUGUAUUGUAAAUACUGUACUGUAUUACUUAUGGUAAUGUCUUCUCGUUGCUAACACACUGACAGACUGUAAAACUCAGUAGGUCAUUUUACUUUAGUCACAAUGAACUGAAUUCCUCACAGCUCGUCUGACUGUGAGUCCCAGCAGCUCUCAGUUCUUUGAAGGAGAGUUUGUGUCUCUGAGCUGUGAGGAGGACGACAGCUCUGCUGGAUGGACUCUGUGGAGAAACACAAGCAAACAACAGAGGACUCAGUGUGGAGCUGACUGGGGAACAUUAGCUGGUUCUUCCUGUAACAUCACCUACAUCUUUACAGUUGACAGUGGAGUUUACUGGUGUGAGUCCAGAGAGGGUCCCAUCAGUAACAUGGUUAACCUG